rnacentral:sRNA from 1 species
UUUUAGCCCCGAUAGAAGCGGCAUCCUUUAUGUUUUUUCUUUAAAAACAUAAAGAUACAGCGGAUAGCGGGCAUAGCU